UAUUGCACAAUGGGCGCAAGCCUGAUGCAGCCAUGCCGCGUGUGUGAAGAAGGCCUUCGGGUUGUAAAGCACUUUCAGUCAGGAGGAAAGGUUAGUAGUUAAUACCUGCUAGGUGUGACGUUACUGACAGAAGAAGCACCGGCUAACUCCGUGCCAGCAGCCGCGGUAAUACGGAGGGUGCGAGCGUUAAUCGGAAUUACUGGGCGUAAAGCGUACGCAGGCGGUUUGUUAAGCGAGAUGUGAAAGCCCCGGGCUCAGCCUGGGAACUGCAUUUCGAACUGGCAAACUAGAGUGUGAUAGAGGGUGGUAGAAUUUCAGGUGUAGCGGUGAAAUGCGUAGAGAUUUGAAGGAAUACCGAUGGCGAAGGCAGCCACCUGGGUCAACACUGACGCUCAUUACGAAA
rnacentral:rRNA from 1 species